GGGGAUUUAGCUCAGUGGUAGAGCUUUUGCCUAGCAAGCACAAGGCCCUGGGUUUGGUCCUCAGCUCCA
rfam:Rattus norvegicus chromosome 1, whole genome shotgun sequence.